CUUCCCUACUGAAGCCUUGCUUUGGAAAAUGAUACCUGGAGCUGAAGCCCCUCUCUCUUCAUUGCAACCUCAAAGCAAGAUGGAGCUCAGAGGUAACAGCUGGAGUUUGGAUACAGGAGAAACUGAUUGCAGAACUUCAGAAGACAUGUAGCAACUCCUUAUCCAGAGGACACUUCAUUUUUUGUUUCCAAUAUCUUCUGAAUCCAGAAGUUCAAACUUUAAGGAUACCCUAUACCUGCUGAAGUUCUGAGUCGUGGUGACACCGCCAGUCUGUAAGUU